rnacentral:rRNA from 1 species
AGGUCUGUGAUGCCCUUAGAUGUCCUGGGCCGCACGCGCGCUACACUGAUACAGGCAAUAAGUCUCCAAUUCCGAAAGGUUUUGGGAACCUCCAAACUGUAUCGUGCUGGGGAUUGACACUUGUAAUUAUUUGUCAUCAACGAGGAAUACCUAGUAAGCGCAAGUCAACAGCUUGCACUGAUUACGUCCCUGCCCUUUGUACACACCGCCCGU